rnacentral:lncRNA from 10 species
AAUGCCCGAGGCAGCCUGAGCGCGGCUGGGGCUCGGAAAGCGCCAAGCAGGCAGGGACCGAGAGGGGUGAUGGCGCGCCCACCCCUGCAGAGCCGCCUGCGCGGUUGUCCCGCGCGUCCCUGCCGGCGAAGGCUGUGAGAAGCACCGCGGGGCUACGGCGCCUCCAUCCUCUCUAACAGCCGCGCUUACCAGACAGCCAGCCUCCAGCGCUGCUAGGCUACUCCGAGCAGGGGAGAAAAGACGCCGGUCCGCCGGGGACCAGGAGGGAGACGUGAAACCAGAGGCCCGGGGGCCCCCUCUCCGCCUGUGCGACUUGUAGUCUCGUACCAGACGCGUCCGCUUCACUGCUGAAUCUGAAAACGUGGGCUCUUGAGAGCUGCCCUUGGAAGGAGCUGUGCUUUCUGCCUCAUCUUUAACUUUUCGUUUAUUCAGCAAAUAUGUAUCAAGUUCCGACUUCGUGGAAGAGAUUGUGUUAGACACUGGGAGUAAUAGAAACAUAAUUAAGAAGCAGGGGUCCCGGACCUGAAGGGCCUGAGCGUCGGGAAUUGGCUGAAGUAAUUAUGUAGGCCGAGAAGUCCCAGAAUCUGCAGUUCACAAGCUGGAGACCCAGGAGAGCC